CUAAGAUACUAAGAGCAUACGGUGGAUGCCUUGGCGAUAUCUGCCGACGAAGGACGCGAUAAGCUGCGAAAAGCUGCGGUGAGGUGCAAAUAACCAUUGACCCGCAGAUAUCCGAAUGGAGCAAUCCGGCUGUGGUCAUGCACAGUCAUCCAUGUCAUAGAACAUGAGAAGGGAACCCGGCGAACUGAAACAUCUAAGUAGCCGGAGGAAAAGAAAUCAACCGAGAUACCCCAAGUAGCGGCGAGCGAACGGGGCAGACGCCCAAACCGGAGAAGGAAACUUCUUCGGGGUUGCGGACUGUCAACAAUCGAGCAAAGUUAGCCGAAUCUGUUGGGAAACAGAGCCGAAGACAGUGAGAGCCUGGUAGGCGAAAACGGAGCUCGAGGGACAGGAUCCAGAGUACCGCGGGACACGAGAAACCCCGUGGGAAACCGGGGGGACCACCCUCCAAGGCAAAACACAGAUAUCGACCGAUAGCGCAUAGUACCAUGAGGGAAAGGUGAAAAGCACCCCGGGAGGGGAGUGAAAGAGAACCUGAAACCGUAUGUUUACAAACAGUCGAAGACCGUAUAUAUAUCAGGUCGACGGCGUGCCUAUUGAAGAAUGAGCCAGCGAGUUACGAGGUCCGGCGAGGUUAAGCAGGAAAUGCGGAGCCGAAGCGAAAGCGAGUCUGAACAGGGCGCGAGUCGGAUUGCGUAGACCCGAAACCACAGUGAUCUACCCAUGUCCAGGUUGAAGCACAGGUAAAAAUGUGUGGAGGACCGAACCUAUAUCUGUUGAAAAAGGUUAGGAUGAGGUGUGGGUAGGGGUGAAAUUCCAAUCGAACGUGGAGAUAGCUGGUUCUCCCCGAAAUAGCUUUAGGGCUAGCCUCAGGGUGAGAUUGCAGGCGGUAGAGCACUGAUCAGGAGAGGGACCUACCCGGUUACCAAACCCAGUCAAACUACGAAUGGCUGUAAUUAUACCUGGGAGUCAGACUACGAGCGAUAAGACCCGUGGUCAAAAGGGAAACAGCCCAGAUCAUCAGCUAAGGUCCCAAAUGCCGUGCUAAGUGGCGAAGGAUGUGGCGUUUCAUAAACAACCAGGAUGUUGGCUCAGAAGCAGCCACCAUUUAAAGAGUGCGUAAUAGCUCACUGGUCGAGAGACGCUGCGCCGAAAAUGUCCGGGGCUCAAGCACGGAACCGAAGCUAUGGCAUUGCUUAGGCAAUGGGUAGGGGAGCGUUCUUACCGGGGUGAAGCAGUACCGUAAGGAGCUGUGGACAGGUAAGAAGUGAGAAUGCUGGCAUGAGUAUCGAAAAGAAAGGUGAGAAUCCUUUCCACCGAAAGCCCGAGGGUUCCUGAGCAACGAUCGUCGUCUCAGGGUAAGUCGGGACCUAAGCCGAGGCGGAGAAGCGUAGGCGAUGGACAACAGGUUGAAAUUCCUGUACUGCUUUAUGUCGUUUGAGUGAUGGAGUGACGCAGGAGGGCACAUGAUCGCGCGAUUGGAAGAGCGCGUCCAAGCAUGUAGUUUGAAUAUGAGUAAAAUGCCAUAUUCUGAAAGACGAGAUGUGACGGGGAAUUAGAGGAAACUCUGAGGAACUCAUGGAUCCCACACUGCCGAGAAAAGCUUCUAGCGAGACAUAAGGCACCCGUACCGUAAACCGACACAGGUAGGCGGGGAGAGAAUCCUAAGGUGCGCGGGAAAACCCUCGUUAAGGAACUCGGCAAAUUGCAUCCGUAACUUCGGGAAAAGGAUGACCCUGAGUAGGCGAAGGACAGAAACGUCCGGAACCGGAAAGGGUGGCAGAAAAGAGGCCCAAGCAACUGUUUACCAAAAACACAGGUGCCUGCGAAAGCGAAAGCUGAAGUAUAGGUGCUGACGCCUGCCCGGUGCUGGAAGGUUAAGGAGAGAUGUCAGCGAAAGCGAAGCAUUGAACUGAAGCCCCAGUGAACGGCGGCCGUAACUAUAACGGUCCUAAGGUAGCGAAAUUCCUUGUCGGGCAAGUUCCGACCCGCAUGAAAGGCGUAAUGAUUUGGGCACUGUCUCAACGAGGGGCCCGGUGAAAUUGAAAUACCUGUGAAGAUGCAGGUUACCCGCGACUGGACAGAAAGACCCCAUGGAGCUUUACUGCAGCUUGAGACGGAAUUCCGGUGAUAGAUGCACAGGAUAGGUGGGAGGCUUAGAGUACCGGACUUUGGUCUGGUAGGAGCCGCUGUUGGGAUACCACCCUUCUGUUGCUGGAAUUCUAACGCGAAGAGUAACGACCUUGCGGACAAUCUCAGGCAGGCGGUUUGACUGGGGCGGUCGCCUCCGAAAGAGUAACGGAGGCG
rnacentral:rRNA from 1 species